rnacentral:rRNA from 1 species
UACAGAGGUCCCAAGCGUUGUUCGGAUUCAUUGGGCGUAAAGGGUGCGUAGGCGGCAGGGUAAGUCUGGUGUGAAAUCCCGGGGCUCAACCCCGGAACUGCACUGGAUACUGCUUUGCUAGAGUACUGGAGAGGGAACUGGAAUUUACGGUGUAGUGGUGGAAUGCGUAGAUAUCGGGAGGAACACCAGUGGCGAAGGCGGUUGCCUGGGGCUGUGCUGACGCUGAUGCGCGAAAGCGUGGGGAGCGAUCCGG